rnacentral:rRNA from 1 species
GUGGGGAAUAUUGGACAAUGGGCGCAAGCCUGAUCCAGCAAUGCCGCGUGGGUGAAGAAGGCCUUCGGGUUGUAAAGCCCUUUUGUACGGGAAGAAAUCAUUCGGGUUAAUACCCUGGGUGGAUGACGGUACCGUAAGAAUAAGCACCGGCUAACUUCGUGCCAGCAGCCGCGGUAAUACGAAGGGUGCAAGCGUUAAUCGGAAUUACUGGGCGUAAAGCGUGCGUAGGUGGUUAUAUAAGACAGAUGUGAAAUCCCCGGGCUCAACCUGGGAACUGCAUUUGUGACUGUAUAGCUAGAGUACGGUAGAGGGGGAUGGAAUUCCGCGUGUAGCAGUGAAAUGCGUAGAUAUAGGAAGGAACACCAGUGGCGAAGGCGACUACCUGGACUGAUACUGACACUGAGGUGCGAAAGCGUGGGGAGCAAACAGGAUUAGAAACCCGUGUAGUCC